UGUCCACAAGAGACGAGCCAUCUUGUUUGGCGGUGUAGUUGAUACUUAUGAUAAAGCGUUUUUAUGAACGAGAUGUAUGCGUUCCAGAUGGACAAUCGCAGAUGGUAUCCUUUGGAGCUUCGCAAGCCAAAGAGCCUAAAGAUUAAG